rnacentral:rRNA from 1 species
CCUACGGGUGACAGCCGUGAGGAAUAUUGGUCAAUGGACGAGAGUCUGAACCAGCCAAGUAGCGUGAAGGAUGACUGCCCUAUGGGUUGUAAACUUCUUUUAUAUGGGAAUAAAAUGUUCCACGUGUGGGAUUUUGUAUGUACCAUAUGAAUAAGGAUCGGCUAACUCCGUGCCAGCAGCCGCGGUAAUACGGAGGAUCCGAGCGUUAUCCGGAUUUAUUGGGUUUAAAGGGAGCGUAGGUGGAUUGUUAAGGCAGUUGUGAAAGUUUGCGGCUCAACCGUAAAAUUGAAGUUGAAACUGGCAGUCGUGAGUACAGUAGAGGUGGGCGGAAUUCGUGGUGUAGCGGGGAAAUGCUUAGAUAUCACGAAGAACUCCGAUUGCGAAGGCAGUUCACUGGACUGCAACUGACACUGAGGCUCGAAAGUGUGGGUAUCAAACAGGAGUAGAGACCCGGGUAGGC